AGAAUAAAGGGAAGAGUAAGGGAAAGAGUACGGAAACAAACUUGCUUGCCCUGAUCGAAUCACUUGCUAAUAUUGAUCGUAAGGCUUUACAUUCUUCUUAGAUAUUGAACUGUAAACAAUGAGGUAUAUGAUUUACCUAUUUAUCUAUUAGUUGAGGUAAUAGAGUGCUUUCUGGCAGUGAAUCCUCUGUACAACAGAGCAACCAUGGAUCUCUGAGCUGAAGGCCCUAACAAACGGAUUGCAGUUAUAGCGGCAGUAUGGUGCUUAGUUAAAUAUGAGUAUAAAGCUCCAGUAUACUAUAUGCUCUGUGACUCUGAUGAGAAUAGUUUUGUACUUAUAGCGUUCGGCAUACUGAAGGAAGCAAUUAAACAAGGAGAUCAGGUCACAGUAUUGGAGCCCAUUUGCAAAUUUAUUGAUUUUGAAUGGGAAGGAAAGCACUAUCAAUUCAAGUCUGUGCGAGUUAAUCUUCUGGAAUAAGUCCUUGUAAAUGGAAAUGCCCUGCCUCCUAAUUCUGUCAUUCGUGAACCAAUAUCAUACCCAUAACUGAGGGCAAAAUACUCUUGUCUAUUACAUGCAGAUGUGUGAACUUGUAAUGAGAU